UCAUUUAAGGGUUGUCAGUGGAGGUAUGGAAAUUUUGCUGGUGAUCCCUGUGUACCUGAGGCUUUCCAAAGAUAUUGUCAAUAUAGAAAUAUUUCCGCAUUUCAAGAUGAAUCUUCAGAUGUAAUAUAUGGUCUUUCUGAACUUUGCAACAAAGAAGAAACAGCUAUUUGUAUUGCACAAAAGCAUACAAGAAUACUGUACAUGAAAUAUGAAUUCAGUUAGCACAUUUUUCAAAUUAACUCAAUGAAGAAAUGAUAAAUAUUCACUUUAUUCUUUCCCACUGGCACAAAAAAAUUAAAUACAGUUAAUUAUAGCCCUGUAAAUGUGAUUAUUAAUCAGUUUUGUAGCAACAUGUUAUUUAUACUCAGAUGUAUGCAAAUGUUCAGGUUUGUUUCCCAGAUGAGUUUCAUUCAGUUUCAGCAAUCAUACAAGUUGAUAAAGAACUGAACUGUGCUCUUCUAUCAAUACACAAACUUCUCAACAGAAAAGCAAAUAAGAAAAUACACACAGGAAAGCAUGUGAGUGUGAAGACACAUACGUAUAUGAAACAUCCAAUCAUCUCGUAUUAAAGUAGUACCCAAGAGCUGGUAAAAACCAGCCACAUUGGAAACACUCUGAUACUGUAUUGAUAUCUUUUGUGAAAACAAAUUGUAAAAUAUUCUAAGGAAGAUUUGGCAAGAAGAAAUGAAAGUUCAUCAAAUAGUACAUGGAAUGUUUGACAGUGCCUCCUCACCACCAAGGGUGUCUUCAGGGACUCUACAAGUUUUAUGCUAGGCCAUGGCUUCUUAAGACAAGAAAGAAACCUCAGCUCUGCCCUGGUAAGAACUCCACUGUUUUUGUGCAGAACUUGUGAAUAUCAAUUUCAGCAAUGAAUGUUGAUGCUUAGGAGAAAAAAAUAUUCUAAUACAUCUCUUUGGUUUCCUUUUGCUUUCCUUUUCCCUCUUUAACAACUAUUGUACUUACCUCUAGGCAGAUGCCAACUAUCAGAUUUUAGACUUUUUUUCAUGAGUUUGCUCUAGUGUAUUACAGGAUUCAGUGUAUCGAAUUUGGUUAUUGGAAUACAGGAACGUGAUAUUUUUCUUUCAUUAGGAAUUUAGAUGUUUCAGUUGAAAAUGGAUAAAUUGGUAUUCUGGAAGAUAAUAGGACAAAAUAAGUUUUUCCAACUGAACAAAUCAUAAUCCAUUGUUGAAGAUGACCACAACUUUCCACUGUGUUAUACUAUACUUCAAUCAUUAAAAAUAAAACAAAACUUUC
ensembl:lncRNA